UGUUUGACUUCCUUGUACAGCUGCAGUUUGUGUGGUGAAGGUGCUCCCACAAUGUGGUUGGGUGGACAUUCAGAUGGUAACCUCAGUAUUUGUAACACCAAACUCUGACAGAAUUACUCAAUUCAUCAGGACCUGGAUAUUUGCAUUUAGUUCUUCUGGCAACAAAUGGCCACAAACCGAUCAAAGGUGAAAGUGACGGUGAACCAGACAGAGCAGUCAGUGGCUGCAUAAAGCAGGACAGCGUGGAUAUUACACACGGGGACGGAGUCCAUCAGGAAAUAAAACUGUUCCUGAUAAACAAUGGGAAUGUGUCUCAGGAUCAGGUCGAGGAUAAUGACCAGGAGAUCCGCCGCUGCCAUGGCCCCCAGGUAACGUCUGACACAUGGAGACAAUCCACAAUCUUUAUAAAGCAGGACGUAGAUGGUCACUACGUUAACUGUGAGGAAGGAAAACAAACCCAUUAUCCAUCAGCCUGGAGGCAAAGGGACCCGUUUGAUCGGGGACCCAGUGAGAUUUUCAAAUGUGUCCCUGUAUUCAGGGAUUUAUGAAAAUAAUUGGAGCUGGAAUAACAA